rnacentral:rRNA from 1 species
UACAGGGGGUGCAAACGUUGCUCGGAAUCAUUGGGCGUAAAGCGCACGUAGGCGGACUCUUAAGUCGGUGGUGAAAUCCUGGAGCUCAACUCCAGAACUGCCUUCGAUACUGAGAGUCUCGAGUCCGGGAGAGGUGAGUGGAACUGCGAGUGUAGAGGUGAAAUUCGUAGAUAUUCGCAAGAACACCAGUGGCGAAGGCGGCUCACUGGCCCGGUACUGACGCUGAGAUACGAAAGCGUGGGGAGCAAACAGG